rnacentral:lncRNA from 1 species
UGCUAAGAGUCAAAACCAAACCAUCCCCUUCCCCCAGAUUCCUAAAACAUUUCAUGGAUGCGUGUAGCCUUAAGACAUGGUGAGACUGCAGAGACUUGAGCAACCGUAUCUGUAAUGAUCAUUGACAUUCAAAAUUAUCUGCAUCCCUAAUAGGACUGAAAAAAUAUAGAGUUUUUGAGUCUGCUCUGGCAGUCUUCCAAAAAGGUCCUUAAGCUUUAGAUAACAGAAAGUAUCUUCCAUACUUAGAAGCAUGUAUGUAACCUUCAUAGAAUAAAGCAACAGCCCAGUUUUUAAAGGUAGUGUGUACUCUGGAAUUUCUACUUUAGAAAUGGUUUAUAUGAGUCACCACCUGCUGAGGUCUUUCAGAGGAGGAAGGGACAUUGGUGAUAUUGAAUUUAACCUUACAUGAGACACUGUAGAAAUUGAAUCUGUUGGUUCUAAUGGAGUGAAAUAUGUUUAUUGGAUUUACUAGCACUGGCAGAAACACUGUAUUGCUCAAUUUAAAAUCCUCUGAGUGCUUAAAUAAUCCAGCUGAC